ensembl:snRNA U6 U6 spliceosomal RNA
GUCUUCACUUCAGCAGCACUUACACUAAAACUGAAACAUACAGAGAAGAUUGGCAUGGUCCCUGUGCAAAAGAUGACAUGCACAUUUGUGAACUGUUCUAUAUUUUU